CGGAUUUUUUUUUCUCAACGUUGACAUGUUAGUAUUAUAAUCUGUGACAAUGAUCUGUGACAUUGUCAAGGUGACAGUUGUUAGUUGACAUACGAUUAUAUCUGAUGUUUGGUGGGCAAAGAAAAGAAUACAAGGUCUUUGUUUGGUGGGGUUUAUUGAUUACGUCUUCAUUUUGUAUUGGCAAAAAUAUAUCUCCAACUCCUAUCUCUAAAGACGAUGAUAACCAUUAUGAAGAAUGACAUGCAAAGGCUAUUUGAACCACAUAUCAACAAUUUUCUGACCAUGACCAAGUGAUGAAUAUGAUACAAGUCUACCUCAUGAAAGCCACACUACUUUUCAAAGAAAAAUAUUUUCUUUGGAGUUGUAGGUAUUAUAGUGAAAACUUAAUCCUGACUUCUGUUCUGCAUAAAUGAGAAUCGCACUAUGCCAGGUAACAUAAUAUAGCGAGUACCCUGGUUGAGUCAAGAUAAUAUAAAAUAAGUGGAAAGAUAAUGUGGCCCAAGUAGUAAAGGAAAGGAUGUGCAAACAGCCGAAUGUGAAUCUGGCAAUAAUGUGCCUGUUUAAAUGAGUUUUAGUUGAGUACCAAA